CCUAACAGGCUUUCAUCCAUAUGGCUUCUCGCUUUACCCCCACCCCCCUCCUUCUGCUUUAGCUUUCUCUUGUUCACCUCUCUGCUCUGCAGCUUGCUUGGAUGCUUUGCUGCCUUGGGAGCUCAACACCAAGGAUUCUUUCAAGCUUUCUGUCCUAGCGUGUAGCUGAAUACAUUCAGAGACUCCCAAACGUGACUGGCUGUGAGUGUGUUUCAUGGGAUGGGCUGAGGGCUGUACCUAAGACACUUUCAACUCAUAUUUGUUCCUAUCCCCACUGGYCAAGGAAACCAUACAUCCUUUUCCUGAUGAAAGGCUCGCGUGGAGAACRGUACGUUGUGCAUUAGGAUCGGCAGAUAUCCUCUGGGAUCUGAACAGAGGAGGACUGUUUGAGAUGCUCGUCAAAGAGAAGCAUUCGUGCACUUCUGUGGAGGAACAGACAUGCGUUAAAGGCUGUCAAUACUGCUGCAGAAACAAACCAGUGAGCUCAUGGACUGCCUCUGCCAAUGGUUAAGGUCAGCUACUGGAAAAAGUUACAAAACAGCUAUUACAGCCAGCAGGCACAAAGUCACCGACAGACCCUGACUCUUCCUGAGAACACCCAGGUCAGCGUGGCUGAGCAGGAAACAGGACCCCGGUGUGUGUCACCCCCUUCCCACCCCCAUCUCCUCAAGGCCAGGGGGCGGCUGAYGGCUCCGGGCCCUCCUCACAGAGCUGCUGAAGGCAAGCUGAGAUUUUCCCCUACUGUAAUCCCUCAACACUGCUGCACUAAUAAUGAAAUUACACACUUGGUACAUGGGAAUAUUUUAUUUUGACUUUACAUGCGGUGUUAAAAACCCAAAGAACGUAUUAUUUACACAUCCACAAUACAAGUUUACAAGAUCUCUAUACAUGUUAAAGUACUCUAUAGUAAUAGAGCAGCUUCAUUUAAGGGUUACUUUUUUAUGCCGUACCAUUAAAAAAGAUACAAUCUGCGUUUACCUUUGCACAAAUGGAUAAAGCAUCUUUUAUUAUUAAAUUAACAGAAUAAGGACUAGGUUGAAUGUUAGAAAUUUUCAACAUAAAUACUCAGAGAACUCACAUUACCAUCUACAAGGCAGCACAAUGUUACAGGAGGUUAUCGGGGUUCACAUACAUUUAUCUUCCGGGUCACACAAGUCUGUAUUAAUAUUUGUGAAGUGAAUUCGGAUCAGUUUGUGUCUUUUGACAACUGAGUACAUUUUAAUAGUUAUUAAUCUGUAGUGUUUUAGUUGCAAGACAGAAGUGUUUAGGAAGAAAGAUCAUUGAUUUUUGGAUCUAGAGGUCUCAGGAAAUAAAUGUCCCUUACAGCCUUACAAGAAAAAAAUGACUACUUCUAUCCUUUAUUCUUUGUUCUGUAACAGAGAUCCAGUUUUUAGUGACUAACCUCUUCUCCCCUUUGAACAUGUAACAUAAAUCUCCACCGUCUCUGAAACCCAUUGCAGUUAUUUGUCCCACUAAUUCAUGAAUAUUCCUCUGCCAUGGUUAUUUCUAUAGUUAUGCUCAAUAAACAAUGUGGUAGUGUGUAGUUUGCAAGCUAAAAUAGCCAUCUGUGUUGAACAUCAGCUGCAAGUGGAUACUGUAAACCCUACUAAAUAGCUUACACAACUUUAGCAGGUGCUCCAUUACCCUGGAAACCUCAUUUGAUUUCACAUUAUAACUGUUUGAUCCUUCAGAGAGCUGGAGUGGAAUGUUUAUCAUGGUA